rnacentral:misc_RNA from 1 species
GAAGGCAGAUCGCUUCGAUCAGAAGGUUAGUAGCCUGGAAAGGAUUUUCCUCAUCGCGAACUUCAUCUUAGAGCUUCCGUCAGCUGCUUUUGAUCAGUUGUCCUCAGUGCAUAAGCCCCAACUUUCAGGAAAUGCUACCAAAGAAAGGCCAACCCCUCAUGUAAGGAGACUGAAUAGAGCAGAGGAAUUUACAUUGGCUCAAAUUGCUGCUGCAACCAAUUAUUUCUCACUACAGAACAAGAUUGGCGUGGGGAGUUCUUAUGAUGUUUACAGAGGG